rnacentral:snRNA from 1 species
GGAUAUAAGGGUGAUAUGGUUACAACAUCCAUCAUCACAUUGCUCACCAGAGUUGAUUCAUCAGAUGUGGCUGGCUAGGCAGGCAUCCCCUUCCUCCUUCACAGUAUGUCCCACCCAAAGCUGCUCACUCAGUGGAAGAGGAUGACCCUCUCUGUACAAAGGAGAGUCAGUCUUUGAUCAAGAUUGUGCAAGUAACUGAGCUCCCCUGCUACAACCUCCAAAUAAGCUUUGAAAUCUUGUUUGUUUGUUUGUCUUCUGAGGUAGGGUCUCACACUAGAUCAGGCUGACCUGGGAUUCACUAUUUAGUUUCAGGGUAGUCUGGAACCCU